ensembl:lncRNA
CUACCUUUCUAAGUGUUCUGAUACUUCUCCCAGUCAUAUUUAAGGUUAGAACUACCUUUCUAAGUGUUCUGAUACUUCUCCCAGUCAUAUUUAAGGUUAGAACUAUCUUUCUAAGUGUUCUGACACUUCUCCCAGUCAUAUUUAAGGUUAGAACUACCUCUCUAAGUGUUCUGAUACUUCUCCCAGUCAUAUUUAAGGUUAGAACUACCUCUCUAAGUGUUCUGACACUUCUCCCAGUCAUAUUUAAGGUUAGAACUACCUCUCUAAGUGUUCUGAUACUUCUCCCAGUCAUAUUUAAGGUUAGAACUACCUCUCUAAGUGUUCUGAUACUUCUCCC